GCCGAUGUAGCUCAGUUGGUCAGAGCAGCUGAUUUGUAAUCAGCAGGUCGGGGGUUCGAGUCCCUUCAUCGGCU
rnacentral:tRNA from 1 species